AGAAUCAACGCUGGCGGCGUGCCUAACACAUGCAAGUCGAACGAGAAAGGGGUAGCAAUACCCUGAGUAAAGUGGCGCACGGGUGAGUAACACGUGACUAACCUACCCUUGAGUGGGGGAUAACUGAGGGAAACCUUAGCUAAUACCGCAUAAUACCCACGGGUCAAAGGAGCAAUUCGCUCGAGGAGGGGGUCGCGGCCGAUUAGUUAGUUGGCGGGGUAAUGGCCCACCAAGACGAUGAUCGGUAUCCGGCCUGAGAGGGCGCACGGACACACUGGAACUGAAACACGGUCCAGACUCCUACGGGAGGCAGCAGUGGGGAAUUUGCGCAAUGGGGGAACCUGACGCAGCAACGCCGCGUGGAGGAUGAAGUCCUUCGGGACGUAAACUCCUUUCGAUCGGGACGAUUAUGACGGUACCGGAAGAAGAAGCCCCGGCUAACUUCGCGCCAGCAGCCGC
rnacentral:rRNA from 1 species